UGUUGUGAGUCUAUUGUUUCCUCGUCCGGGUUUUGGUCGAAGUGUUGACAGUAAAGUCUAAUAAUUUGUAGCGCUAACACGUAACAAUGCCGACAAAUCCAGUAUUUGAUGUGGCAAAGUGCCCGUUGAAUAGCGUUGUUGUCUAUCAGGAUCGCGCUGAGGUUUGCAGGGUUGUAAAGGCCACGUUAAAGACCGGUAGCAACGAAGUGGUCGUGAAAAACUUCUCAGCCGGCGUUGACAAGGAUUCGUUUCGCGUUGAAGGCAAGGGUGCUGCUGUUAUCAAUGAGGUGACAUACAAGGAAGAGCGCGUGACAGAUCAAGACAGUGACACCGAUGAAAAGAUCAAGACUAGUAGAGAGACCAUAAGACAGCUCGAGAAGACCCUUCAGUCUCAACAGCAACGGGAGCAGCGGCUUGUUUCGCAGAAGGAAUCUCUGAAUGCACUUCUUACCACCGUCACAAAAGCCGAGAGCAAGAAAGGACAGCAGUGGGUCGGGGAUGAGGCAUGGAUCGGAGGGAUCGAAUCCUUCCUACGGAUGUAUGAUGAGAAGAUGUCACAGCUUGACUCACAGCUGGAAGAGGUUACUGAGCAUGUAAAUGACACGAAAGAAAAAUUGGAGGUGGAACGUCAGAAUUUGAACACUAAGUGUCAUGGCGAUUACUCUUUCUCCAGGGAGGUGUUGGUGCUCCUGGAAGCAACUGAGGACACUGAGGUAGAGUUGCAUGUGUCCUAUGUUGUCUUCGGUGCUUCUUGGACCCCCAAAUAUGAUGUCCGCGUCUUUACCACCGACAGCAAGCUAAAGCUGACGUACUAUGGCGUGAUAACUCAGUCUACGGAGGAAGACUGGACAGAUGCGAAGCUGUCGCUUUCCACAGCCAUGCCCAGUGUCGGGGGAUCCGUGGACCCAUUAGAAACGCACGAACUUCGCUUGUACAGUCCCCCGCCAGCACCGAUGAAGCGAAAGUCGAUGGGCUUCUCCUUCCGAAGCAAAGCACCGAUGAGAAACGAACUUCAAGAAUCGGGCCUUAUGGAAAAUGUUCAGUAUAUGGCAGCAGCGGAACCUCAAAUGCUAGAUGUCGCCACUGUGCAGGUAACAGAGGGUGUGACCAGCACUACAUUUGAAAUUGCUAGACCGUCAACUAUCCCAUGUGACAACACCGGGCACAAGGUUACAAUUGGACUGAUUGACCUUGAGCCGACAUUUGAGUACGUGUGCAUACCUAAGCAUUCGCCACACGCAUUCUACAAGGCUAGAGUGAAGAACACCUCGGUCUAUGCAUUGCUGGCAGGGCCAAGCAACAUCUUCCUGGAUAACAAUUUCAUCGCAAAGUCACAACUGAAGUCAGUGAGUCCUUCUGAGGAAUUCACCUGCUUCCUGGGAGUGGAUCCAGCGAUUAGAAUCACUUAUCCUCCUGAACACAAGUUCCAUGCUAAACAUGGUGUCUUCACCAAGGUGUCGCACGUGACCCAUCAGCAGGACGUUACUGUGAAGAAUACGCGUGAGCAAGCGAUCAACAUCACAGUGGAAGAGCAGCUGCCGCGCAGUGUCGAGGAAAAAAUAAAGGUGACACUACUAGAGCCAGUGCUUCCCAGGGAAAACAGGAAGGCAGAGGAUACCAAACCACCAGUGAGGCAAAACAAAAACAACAAUAUUGAGUGGGAGAGAACAGUUAAGCCCGGAGAAGCUGAAACCUUUACACUGAAGUAUGCUGUGGAGUAUCCAGCAGCUAGUAAGCUGGACUCUGUAUUCCACACCGCAGAAUUCGGAGAUGACUAAGUACGAAAAUAAAGCAGACUUUAAAUCAGACCUGCUAAUAAACAAAAUAUGAAUAAAAUAAAAAAAAUCAAUUAGAUCUGCAAGCUAUAGCUUAUUGUUCUGCUCAUAGCUCAUUGAUCUGCAUGGAAUGAUUGACAUGUAGAGUUUGUCAAUCAGAAUAGUGAUUAGGGCAUUCCAAAAACGUUGCUUCGCAAGAAACGUUCCACAAUGUUAACAAUGUGGGUAUGAACAUGAAAAAAACACGUAUAAACAUUAUUUAAGAGUCUCAUGGUUAUCUUGCUUAGAAUGGCAGGUCAAUUGCUGUCUUACCUUGUGUCUCUUGUACAUCUGGUAUUCGCUUUAAAAUUACAUGAAGUGUAAUGUGUAUUACACUUGUAAUUACAGUUGUAAUACUCAUUAAUAGUGUUUAUUGCAAUUGUAAUAUACAAUUGUUAUUACACACUGCUAACUAAGGUGUGAAAUAAUUGAUAUUAUAUUUUUGGUUUGUCAUGAAAUUCUACCAUAAUUUAAAGUUUUGCAAUGUUUUAUUAUGCCAGUAUUUCGUAGUCUAUAUAGCUAUAGCACCAACUAAAUAGUAUUAUGCUUGCAAAAUAGGACAACAUUGGAAAGUUGCCUAAAAUGUAUUGCAAAUUUAGUAUUAUGCCGAAUAAGUAUUGGGGAAAUCAUAUUCUGUCUAACAAGCAGAAAUACAGCAAAACUAGUCUACUAUUUAACAACUAUAGUAGGACUGUUUGUUGGCAAAUACUACUAUUUACAUUUAUUGUUUAACAUAUGUAUUCGAACUGGUUUGAAUUGUAAUAAUGCAAGUAUAAGGAAAUAGUGUAGCAAGCAAUCUUUGCACAUUUAGUGUUGAACUUAGAACAUAUGGCAAUAUUUGUGUUCUGCCCACCGAGUAUUGAAAAAUAGACGUUGUGCAUAGCACGCAUGUCAAAAUUUACAUUGUCUGUGUCUAGCAAACGUUACCAAAAUUGGUACAUAAAAAACAUAAAAUUGUUAUAUUGUGCUGCGAGCGUGACAGUGUAUAUUGUGUCGAGCAACUAUGAAAAUGUUGUAUCAAUCAACUUUGACAAAAUUUGUAGUGCGCCUAGUACUUAGCCAGUAUGACACCAUUUAUAUCAUGUUUAGUAAGCAUAGAACAAUUAUAUUGUGACAAGCGCUCAGAUGUGGCAAAAUUGGUAUUGUUCAAGUUUGAGAAAAUUCCCUUUGCAAUAGGGAAAGUGAAUUAAACCGGAAAAGGAGAACGUAAAUCUUAAUGUACCCAACAAGAAUAUAAACAUUUAUCUUGCCUUUAACGAGCGUGGCAACAGUUGUGUUAUUCCUAACAAGUAUGACAGUGUUAGUAUUGUGUGUAGAAAUGCGGUGUAACUGGUGUAUUCGCAUCGAAACUGUGGCAGACAUGGUAUUCGUGAUGACCUUGAUCGGUAUAAUCGUAUAUUCAUCAAUAUGCUAAUAGAGCGCAAGGCCAAGUGCUAAUAGCUGUGCUUUGGAACAAUUAGAUUGAUAGCAAGCGAGCGUUCUCAUGGUUGUGGGGUGUCUUCUUGAAAUUUCAGGGUACCUAAUUUGUGAUUGCAUAUUCGUUUACCUCGGCUGGUUCUGUAGGUUAGGAACCUUCUCUAUAAAUCAGGGAGAAAAAUUAGGGAGUUUAGAAAAAUCUAUAUUUAUACACCGCUAGAAAGCGAAAUUAUUUUCAUUUAUUUUCAUUAAAGUCCAAUAAACCAAACCGGUUAGUUUUUUUUUCUAAAAACAAAAAACAAACGCGUGAUUCUUCCUAAACUAUUGCCAGCUUCGAAGGUGAAAUAUUGUGGUAUUGCUAUAUUUAAGAUCUAGCGGCAUAUUAUUUUAGUAGCUAUGCACAGAAGUACUAUUAUCGCAUUCUACUAUGCGCUUCAUUUCAUCUUCGUCAGCCUGAUCGAUUUCUUGUGGGUUUAUUGGAUUUUUACAGAUGUGUGCAUGUGUGGUUGCUAGCUAGGUGUUCAAUAGCUAUUGUUCUAAGUGUGCGUGCAUGUGCGUACGUCGGAUGAAUAUUCAACUCUUAUUUCACAAUCUAUAGUGUUACUAAAAUUUUGACAGGAUUAUGAA
rnacentral:misc_RNA from 1 species